CCAGGAAGUUGGAGGUUCUUCCCUUCGUCUUCAGCCGACUACACACAUGUGCCAGCUCCCGCAGACGCCCGACUGCAAACUUUCUUGUGUCGCUAAUGAAAUCAUCAGCUGUGAGUUUUGUUAUUUGUGAUUGAAAGGUUGCUGGUCCUUGGUUUUUUAGCAGAUUAUGAUGUUAGAACAUGUAUAUUUUUACUUGCUUGUUUAAAUAUUUAGUUUAGUUUAUCCUGGUGCUUAACCUAGAAUGUAGCCUAAAGCUAAGCUGAUUUGCCGAUUGCAGUAUGAAGUUUGGUUUAGCCAGUACCUUAACUUAGCUCUUAGCAUUAGCACGUGAUUUAGCAUGCAGCUUAGCGCUUAGCAUUAGCAAUUAGCAUUAGCAACUACUAUUAGCAUUUAGCUUAGCACCGAUGCUUCGUUUGUAUUACAAGUAAAUUUAGUAUUUUUUAUAGACGGGUUUCUGUGCAACGUUAACGCAGCCAGGGGGCAGAAAGAGGGACAUUUCUUACUUGUUAAUGGAGAAAGAAAAUGACAAGGAGAUGUUGUGCUGUAAGCUGCACGAAUCGGCAAAACAAACAAUCGGCAAACAUUACGACCCUGCUCCUAAACCAACGUCACAACCUGGUAAAUUGAGUGAAAUUCAUGGAUUUUUCAGCAAGUGUUUUUCUGACUUUGAUGCAGUGAAAGACAAAGUGAUUUUUCGUUGAAACAGCAUUUCAUCGCAAUUGUUUCAGGGAGAACUUGCAAACAAAACGGCAUCUUCACUGAUAUCACUUCACUUCGAAACAGGCUUUUGCCUCCUGGUUGCGCGCACCUCGUAUUGUUUGUACACAAGAAUCCCGUCUAUUAGAAGUUGUUUGCAGCACCUUGUUGAUCUGAGCUUUAUUUCUCUGUGCUAUAGUUUUCACUCUGAAUUCAACAAGCGAUAAAUAAACAAAAUCAACUGAGACCUGACUCAAUCAUCAUUUGAAUUGGAGUUUGGCCAACUGUUGAAAUGCGUAAUCACACACAUACGGAGAUCAAGUCACAAUUUGGCUAAUCUCAAACAUUUUUGGGAUCAAGAGCCUGGGGGGAAAAAAGUCAGGGUUAAGUCAGAGUCGAAACUUAUCAACUUGCAUUUACUCUUGAAACGAACCCUGAAAAUUUCAAGAAAACUUGAGAAAAACUUCCAGAAAUUUCCAGGACUGUAGAGUGGAUCUGAUUACAGCUGCUGGGGGACAUAUGUGAAGUCCGCUAAACUGAUUAUUAUCGAUUUAAAGCUGAUUGAAAAUUUUCCUGUUUUGACUUUUUUAACUGUGGUCUAUUUCUGAUCGGUUUCGUAUAACCGGGAAAGCUGUACCUUCCCAAACCCUGCGCAGAAAUCUGUUGAUUCAGAGACAGACGGUCAGAGUUGCCACACAAGGCUGCUGUUUGCAUCCUGUAUCCCGAUGAUCCGAUUUAUUCCUCCCCGUCGUAUCACUUCCUCAUCAUUAUUCACAAGUUCAGAUCACUUCACUGCGGCUCUAUUUUGUACAUGAAGAGAAUCGGUCGUUAUUAUGCAUGUGAGAGACAGAAGGAUGGCUUUCAGACGAGAUCGUCGCCCACGUAUCUUGUUGUUUUUGCAUUUUUCUCGCCAUGUUCCUGAGAUAAUACUCUCAAUAUGUAAACGAGUCUGAUUCCCCGACAAUUAUUUAGAUCAGUGAUUCAGAAGGGACGGGGAAAUGUAGAGGCAUUAAGUGUCAUAUUCAGGCUUGUUUGAGCGCCGUCUCUGUUCAAAGAGAUGCACUUUAAGCUGCCAAAGUGAAGGUGUGAAAGCUUUGUAAUUGGCUCUCGUUAAAAGACAGACAUGAAGCCUGUUUUUAUGCCUCCCAAAACUAAAGAAAAUCUUUUACGUCUUUGAUUUAUAACUAGUUUUAUAUCAAAAGUAGAAUGUCAAACAGUUGUGUAAAAUUACACUUUUGCAGAUUCAUACUUGUUUAUUGUGGUAGUAUCAUAAAACAGAAGAAUCAGUCAGUACGUUUACAUGACACUCUAGAAAACAAAAUUAUCGCCUUAUUCCGAUUAAGACCGGACAACUGAAGUACAUGUAACACUUUAGUCUGACUAUAAUCAGAGUUUGAGAACUCCGAUUAAGACACCCAGAUAAUGCGAUUGGAAUUCGAUUUUCUCCACCAUGUAACCGGUGUAGUCGGAGUAUGAUCGGAGAAUGCAUGUGCGUGUGCGCGACGCCCCCGUAACUUCGGAACAAAAACACCAGAGAAGAGGGGUAGCAUGCAUCUCCUCUGCAGAAAAAGAAGUGAGUACAUGUACGACAAAAACAACGCCGUACGAUGCUCCAUCUUCUUGUUGUUGUUGACGGUUAUAUUGGGUCAGAAACAGCGCCCCGGAAAAGACCCAUAUCGCCCGAUUUGAAGUCCGAUUCGGCGAAAAAAACGAUAAAGCUGUGCAUGUAAACAUACUGAGUGAAAUUCAAUGGGCUGUCUAGGACAAAGGCCAAUGCUGUAGAUCCCAAAAGUAAAGCCAAAGUAUCUGAAGCUCCCCCUACUGGCCGGCUAAAGUAAAGGUCCUGCCCUCAAUGUUAACAGAUGGCACAUGGAUCAAGUUUUAAAGUCAAAACAAAUCUCAAACAUAACUUCUACCAUGAUAGUUGUGCGGCGUUUCAGUUACCUCGGAAGUCGGAGCUGGAAUGGUUUGAUGCACUGUCCUGCCAUCUUGAAUUAUGAUGUUGUCGUCAACUUGGGGUUGGUGAGGAUCGUCCGACUUUCUGAGUCAGAAAAAUCAAAUUUCAGGGGGAGCGUUCCAGAUGAAUUUCUGACUCGGAGCGUGGAAAUCCCGACUUCUGAGUACAGCUGGAAUGCAGCAUUUGUCUCGUUAUUUGAGAUAUUUUGGCUCCGCUUUUGUCCAACAGGAGGAAGGUUGUGUCGGCUGUAUCUUAAACCAUGAAAAGCCACAUUUCGAACAUAAAACAAGCUGAAACACAGCACUAUGAUAUUAAAUUAGGAGUUAUUUUCAGAGGAUGAUGGCCCCAUUGUGAGUCUGAUCAAUCCUCCACUCUACUGUGAAAAAGUAUUACAUACCCUAGCUUUAUUUCUCUCUGCAGACCCUCAGAUAACGCUCAGAGACCCUUUUAUUGAGCAUCUUCAGGAGUCCGUGUUAUCAAGCUGCAGCACAGCAGAGUUUUUGAGCCCCUGAUGCUGCUCCCCAAACAUGUUAUAACCAGGCAAUAAAUAUUUCUCUGAUCUAUGAUUACUGCGUGAGCGCCUGGUUUCUUAUAGGUCAACACUGAAUUGACUUCAGAGCAUAUCAGAGGGACUCCAAUCAAUACCAGAGGCUUUGGUGAGCCUGCUCUCUGAUCCGUGGCUGGGCUGAAUCGAUUGUCACCAGGAGAAGGACUCAGGGGAAGCUGGAGGAGGGAGGAGAGAGGAGGAGGAGGAGGAGGCGGUGGUUGGUGUGAGAGGAGCUUCAUCAAUGAUUGAGUAUUGAAGGCUUGAAUCUGCUGGUGUCAGGCAAAUUGACCGCCUGAUUGGGUUGAAGCUAAAAUGAUGAUGUACGAAUGACAGGCAUCACCCAUUGGUUUGCAUUUUAGCAUUUGGCUGCAGCCAUCUUGGUUUCUGGAGCAGGAAGUGACCAUAUUUGGAUGACAGGGUGGAGCUAUGGUGGAACUAGGAAUUAGCAAAUGUGAAGCCUUUGCGUAAAUCUUCUAAAUCUUAGGAGUCUGGAUUAUAUAUCAGGAGAAGUAUUCUGGUUUUAAUCCAUGUUUGCAGUCAAGCAGAUCUGACCAAUAAGGUACCUGCAGGCUUAGAGGAGGACCAGUCUGUAUGGAGAGCAAAAACAGGCAGAACAUGUGAAAUGACAAUCAGCAGUUAGAAUUCCUGCUGUCCUUGAAUGCAUAGACAUAAAAUACGUAGACGCCCCAUAGACGGACGCUUCCUUUUGGAGCUGAUGUAUCAGCAUGGCAGCCAUCUUGGAUAGGUCUCCCAUGCUACCCCAGUGUUUUUAUUUCUAUUGAGGAAAGUUGAUAUGCCAAACUAAAUUAAUCAUAACUCCCUGAAUUUGUACCAGAUUUUCACAGUUUGGUUUGUUAGAAUUAGCAGAGAUGUAGCGUCACAAAGUCGCACAAAGUUAAUUUUGAGAGGUUUUUGGGUCGGCUCGAGUGUCUUUAACAUGCUUCUAACUCAGUAAGUCCACGUGACACAAGAUCGAAACUUGCGUACAAAACCACAGACAUUUGAAGGAUUUUACAAACUUCCCCAGAAAAAGCUGGACAGCCCCCCAAAAAGAGGUAAAAGAGGACGUAUGGUCACCCUAGUUUAGGUUACAAAAAAUACAGACAUAGUUGCUAGUUCUCAGUCAACCAAGGUUGGUUCUAGUGCGACACUAAUGAAAGGAGACCCAUCCAAUAUGGCGGUGAGAAGAAACCAGUGCUAUGUAUUAUUUAUGUAUUAUUUAAAACCAAGACUGAAUACCAUAUUGAGGAUAUUAAAGACUUUAAAGCUUUACUGAAUUUUAUUUUGUUAGCCCUUUACUCUUAUGUCGUCACUGAAAACAGCUGCCGCUGGUUGAAUCCACGUUACAAACCUGUAAAUGUCCUCUUCAGUUGGUCGUGAUCCUUUAAAAACCAUCUGUACUGUGAAUAAUUAAACCUGAAUGCAGCAGAGUUGAAUUUGUGCGAUUACAUCACAGGGGGAAAUCAAAGGUAAAGGUGUGAAUGAUCCUCCGUACUGAACUGCACGUCCUCUGCGACUCAUCUUGAUUUAAUGUCUGAAAUGAGAUUUGUCGUCUUUUGUGAUUGGACAGGUUGUCCGCUAAUGGAAAUGAGGCAUCUUUUCAAUAGAUUCAUGCUUUCAGCUUUCAAUUAGCUCUGCGUUACGGUGACAGAUAGAGGAAGAAGUCAUUUCCCUUUCAGGCUCUGAUGUGAGUAAAAGGAAAAGGGAGCAGGGCGGGGGGGUGAAGCCGACCUGAGGUGCAAUUAUCUGUAUUUAAAUUCAGAGAGGGUUCAGUCUGAUGUCCCUGAAAUAACAGACUUUUAUUCACAGGUCGUCUGGAAGAAAGACUCAGUCACGACUCGUGUACACAGCCAGAGAGAGGGAGCGGCCCAGGGAUGGAGAGACAGAAGGAUGAGGGGAUGACUAACAGAUAAAGAGACUGAUGAAAGGAUGAAAAGAUUAAUGAAUGGAAGAUAGGAUGGAUAGAAGAAUGGUGAAAUAUACAGGAAAACACUGAAAGACACAGAGAAGUGAUGGAUGGAUGAAAGAAUAAAUGAUUGACUAGGUGGAUGGAUGGAUGGAUGAAUUAUUGAUUUAAUGGAUGAUGGAUGGAAAUAUAAGGGCUGAAUGGUGAAUGGGUGGAUGAAGGGAUGAAUAGAAGUAUGGGUGAAUGAAAAGAAAGAUGGAUGAGUGGAUGGAUAAAUGAUGGAUGGAUUAAUGGAUGGAUGAUGUAAAGAUUGAUGAUAAAGAAUGAAAGCCUGACUGUUUUACCGAUAAAUGGAUGGAUGGAUGGAUGGAUGGAUGGAUGGAUGGAUGGGUGAAUGAAUAAUGUAUAAAUGUGGACAAAGGGUUAGAGGUUUGUAUGAUAAGUGGUGAAUGAAUUGAUAGUUGAAGAGAGUGGUGGAUAGAUAAAUGAAUGAAUGAUUGUUAAUUCGAUAGAUUAAUGGAUGGAUAAAUGAUUGAUUGAUAGAUAACUAAUGCAUGGAUAAUGGAUUAAUAAUGGUAGAUGAUGAAUGAAUGAAUGAAUUGAUUGAUUGUUAUGAUAGAUGAAUGGAUGGAUACAAUAUGGAUAGAUUGAUAAAUGAUUGACGGAUGGAUGGAUGGUAGAUGGAUGAAUAAAUGGAUGAAUGACUGACUGAAUGAAUGAAUGGAUUGUUAAUUCAAUGGAUGAAUAAAUGGAUGAAUGAUUGAUUGAUAGAUAACUGAUGGACAGAUGCAUGGAUAAUGGAUUGAUGAUGGUAGAUGAAUGGAGAAAUCGAUGUAUGAAUGAAUGAAUGAAUGGAUGGAUGAUGGAUUGUCAGUUUGACGAAUGGAUAAAUGAUGGAUUGAUGAUGGAUAGAUUAAAAAAUUACAGACAGAUGGAUGGAUGAUUGAUUGAUGAUGGUAGAUGGUUGAAUGACUGGACGAUUUGUCAGAAGGAUGGAUGGGUUUGCAGUGAAUGGAUCAAUUGUUGGAGGAAAGGAUGGAUGAAUGAUAGAUUGAUGUACUGGAAGGACAGAUGGAUGGAAAUACAAAUGGACUGAUAUGUUUACAGAACAGCAGAUGAAAGAAUGAAUGAAUAAUUAAGUGAAUGAAUGACAGACUGUUCGACGUUAAUGGGAUUCUGUUUGAUACGGUUCAGUCUGUUCACAUACUGAAACUGUUCCCGCUGUCAUAAACCAGAUUAAACUGUCAGAGGAGGAUUUGAUUUUACUCUUGUUCAAACAGGGACUUUAAUUCUUCUUCAGAAGUUCAAGAGUUUGGUGAACUCUCUUGAGAUACUUGUUUAAAAAGAGCCGAUGUGUUUGAAAGAGUCCUCUAUCUCCUCAGGACGAUCUCAGGACACCAAAGUGAAUUUCCCUCUAAUUGAAUCCUGUUUAAAUGUCUCGUUAAGACUUUUUUUUCAGCCGUCAUGGGCUUGUUUGGUGAUUAGUGAAGGGUUAAACUCCCCUCUUCCCCUCCCCUGCCCUCUCCCACCCUGCAGGAUGGUUCGGAUUAUCUCUCUCCCCCGUGUUUUCAGCAGCAGAGGGGUUGGACCCUCCCUGUUGAAGAGCUAGUGCUACAGAUGGUGGAGGAAAUUAGAGUCUGCACGCCACGAUCGGGAUCAGAGCUAAACCUCCGAAACAGCCGUGUCCCCCUCAGGUGGAGCUUUCUAAUCAUCAGGGAGGAUUCUGCUCUCUAGUCAUGUUUCACGGGAGUCAUGUCAUUUCACUGGGCACAAAAAACCCCCACACUUCUGCUGCCGUUUCAUAUUUAUUCACGAAGCCAGUGGAGCUGCACGACAUUAGUCAAAAUUUUUAACAACAUCAGUAAUUUCCUAUUUUGUAGAUUCACAUUAUUAUAAGAAAAUUAAAUAGAUUUUAAAUAAGUUAUGACCAAGAACAUAAGAGAUGUUUAAAGGUAAAAUCACAGGUGUGACAAAACUUAUCGUUUUCCUCUUUUAGAGUACUUUUAAUAAUAAUAAGAUUAUCUGGACGAUACACUUUUAUCAUAUGUUCUAACCAAACUCAACCUCUGUUCUUGUGAGAUUAAGUUAAUGCAGAAAGUGUGUAAAACUGCAGUUCCUCGAGUGUCCACUUGAGGCUGGUCCCAAAAGCUCCUCAACCACAUACACACCCAUUCAAAAAAGCUCAUAUUGAAAGCAGGAAUACACAUGUUUACAGACUCGUACAAACAGGAUUUUGGUCUGAAAAGUUUAUUUCUUUAUUCGUACACACCGCUAAGGGGGUGAGUUUUUCCUCCAAUCACUACCUUUGAUGAUAAUAAGGUCAGGAGUUUUACAUAGAGGUACACCUUUUCUCCUUUGCAUUUAAUAAAUGAGCACUCAGGAAUCACAGGCACUGUAGUGAUCGGCAUGGCAGUUCUUUAAAAUGUACUGAAUCACUAGAAUCAGUUCACUAAAAAGAUUCGUUCAAAAGAUUCAUUCACCAAAUCACCGAAUCACUUUGUUUGACUGCUGUCUUUUUAAAGGUGCUUCAUAAAUAAACUUUGACUUGACACUAAAGUAGCUAAAGCCUGCCUCAACUCCUCCUCUCUACUUCGGGAUGAGUCAGCAUUCAGAUUUGGGGAUCACCAUCUUUUUAAAAACCUGACUCAUAAACCAACAGGUCCAUGUUUUUCACAGAACACAGCUCUAAAGGAUUACAUGCUGGCUGAAGAAAUAUCAAACAUUUUCGGGUCCUAUAAAUCACUUAAGCUGCAUUCAGGGCUCCUACACAGUUGGAAUUUCCAUGGAAUUGUUUUUGGAAAUACCUACUUUUAUAUUUUAGAAAACUUUUCUAUGAUUGACACUUGAUACAGCCUACGGGCAUAUGAAGAUUGCAUAGCUCACCCGGGGGAUACACUGUUUUAGCCGAGCGUCAUCGCAGCGACUCUCGGUGACUCUCCCACCAAAUGUGUACAUCGCUACUGCGCAGUCUGAUUUCAGGAAAUGAAGAAAAAUCGUGAAAAUACAGAGAGCUUUUUGGUUUCAAAUCCAUAUACAGGCAGGAGGCGGAGCCAAGUUGUCCAUAGUAUAUACAGUCUACGGUCGUAACCCCGUGCAUUAAAAAAUCUAUCCAAAAUUCCGGUUUUAAAAGACUUUAAAUCCUGUUAAAUGUAUUUAACAUCAAAGCCAGUCUGCAUGUCUUUUCCGUCUACUUUUGAUGGUUUGCAGCUCAUUCAAAUUAGAUAUUUUUAACAGCAUCCGUCUGUUUUUUUUAUGCUUCAGUGUCUUUUAUUCCAACUCAAAACAAUCUGAUUGAUUCCUGCUUGUUUUUUUCAUCUCAGAACGAGACGUCCUUCCAGUGAGGCCGCUGCGAGACGACAGACUCUCAGUGUCUCCAGAUCCACAACAAACGCUGUAAGCCAAUUAGAGAUAACUAUCAUGGAACCUAAUUUAAUUAGUAUCGCUGAUUUGCCAUCCCUCUCCUUCCACUUAGGCCCUGAAAUCCACGCAAUAUCCCCCUACUCUCCUCCGCUGCCUGUUACACUCCUCUACAGCAGAAAGGCUUCAUGAGAAACUGCACAAAACCACGUCUCUGUGCCAACUCCGGGUCAGAUAUUGUGGCAAGAAAAUCCUCAAAAGAAAGACGACAGAGUCUGUGCAGCUGAGAGAAAAGCAUCUUUGAGCCAGAGAUAUGAAAAACACACAUUUCUGCCUCAUGGUUUUCGAGUCUGCAUUCAAUCACGGGGUGCAGAUUUCACAAAAACAAAAGAGACUCUUGAAUAUUAGUCUGUUUAAGCCCGGAGGCCACCGUUUAGAUCUGAAACAUCGAGAUUUUUACAUUUUUAUGGAGUAAAGAGGACAAAUAACCCAAGUUUCUGUUUCUCAAUCGAAGCCUGAAUAAAAGUCGAUGUAGUGAGCAGUAAAUGUAUUCAUAAAGCACUAAAACAGUCACCUUACAGAAUUUUUUAAGGCGAAAUACUCUCAUUUUUACAGCUCGCUAUACGUCUUCCUAUAGGCUUCUUCAUGCUCCAUGAUCUUUAGGAUCACCUGCAGCUUGUUUCGUUGCUGUCCUGUGAGGUUCAUAAAGUAGAAAAUAACUUUGAGACAUCCUUGACUAAAUUUAAUGGAACAACUGGAUGGAAAAGAAGUUAAAAUUGCUCCCAUAAACAUGAAAUGUUUUAUGCACCCCGAGAAAAUAUGUAGUGUGUGUCAGUUUUAAUACUCCGUCGACAUUCAGGGUUAUUUCUUCCACAUGAAACUUCCUCUGAAACUGCAGGCUAGUGCUGUAAACCGUCAAAGAAUGUAUAAUCUGCCUCGUCAGUUAACAAGUAAUCUGUAAUUCUCUUCCUGAGACAUAUGGUGGGAGGAAUAAUCUGUCAGAGACUGCUGGACCACCAUCAAGCUGCAGCUAAAACCCCCCGAAGACACGGAGAGCAAAGCAGAUGAAGCUUAGAGGGAAAUUAAGAGCAAACCUUUUCAGCGACAGAGACACGACUGAGGAGGCAUCAAGGUCUGAACCUGGAGAUAGUCUGAUGUUAGGACUCCAAAUCUGCAGGUGUAACUGAAGGGUACAUCGAUCAUGACAGAAAACAGAAAUUAAAAUGUAAACAAACAUUUCCUCUGAUCCAGGAACCCCAGACAGUUACACCCCAGGGUCACAGGAGGCCUUAUUUCCCCACGUAAUCACAACCACUUUACAAAAGCGUGAAAAUACAGUAAAUCUGUUCAUCACUGCCAGCCUCCAUUUACAAAAACAGCUUUUUAAGCAGAGGAACUGCUGGUCUACCUCUGAGUUUUCACGUCAUUGUGUUUCACUUAUAAAGUCGCUAAAAUAGCAGAAUUAAGAUUAUCAAACAGAGGUGGGGGUUUUACAAAAAAAGG